GGGGUUGUGGCUCAGUGGUAGAGUGCUUGCCUGGCAUGUGCAAGACCCUGGGUUCGAUCCUCAACACCA
rnacentral:tRNA from 1 species